GUGCAGAGCAAUCCACCACAACCACGACGCGAAGGACUCCAAGCUACAAUUUCUGCAUCACUAAAACAAAAACACAACAGUAAUGCAUCCAAGGUGCUCACUCAGGUCCUUCUGUUCUCUUAAAAUUUUAUAUGUGUAAAAUAUCAUGCUGACUGUAGUUAAUAAUCAAGUGCAUUAGUCCUAGGAAAGCUUUGGGCAUUUGGUGAGGAGCGCAAGCAAAAUACGGCAAAAACAUCAUGGCUGUGCAGUUGUGCAGGCUUGGAGCUGAAGUUUGGGAGCUGAAGGCAAAGAGGCAGGGACUAUGUGCAGAAAUAAUAAAUAAUGAUUAGAUCAGUCUAGGCUAUACAUGCUUCCCAUUGUAUGAAUUUUUGUGCUAUAAUAUUUUUCCUUCCCCUUCUUUGAAAUGCGAUAUUUGCACAUCUCUUCUCAACUUUGCAUUACUUAUUCCUGUCAUUUUGUAUAUAUUAACCUGUUAUAUUUUCUAUGCUUCAUUUUUUCAGUUCUGAACCUGGAACACUAUGAAGAAGCAAGGGCUUGCUACAUAUGGAUAUUUGUUUUGCCUAUUGGUUUAUUUAGGAUCUAGAUCACCGAUGACUUUGAGUCAUAUGUAAAUAUAUUUUUAUCAUACCAAAAGUGUCUCGAACAUAUAUUAUAUAUGAAACUAUGGAUCAACUUCUUGUAAUGCAAUUAUUGAUUUUUAAUAUAUAUUAUUUUUUCUUCUU